rnacentral:rRNA from 1 species
AUUGAACGCUAGCGGGAUGCCUUACACAUGCAAGUCGAACGGAGUGGCGAACGGGUGAGUAAUGUAUCGGAACGUGCCCAGUAGCGGGGGAUACCUACGCGAAAGCGUAGCUAAUACCGCAUACUAUUGGAGCGGCAGAUAUCGGAUUUGAUAGUUGGUGGGGUAACGGCUCAACAAGGCGACGAGCCGUAGCUGGUUUGAGAGGACGACCAGGCACACCGGGACGUAGACACGGCCCAGACGCCUAAGGGGGGCAGGAGGGGGGAAUUUUGGGCCAUGGGGGAAACCCUGAUCCAGCCAUCCCGCGUGUGCGAUGAAGGCCUUCGGGUUGUAAAGCACUUUUGGCAGGAAAGCGGUACCUGCAGAAUAAGCACCGGCUAACUACGUGCCAGCCGCCGCGGUAAUUC